AUGGUGGCCUUAAAGGAUAUUUUAAAUAGUUAUGAAGCGGCUUCUGGGCAACGUGUGAAUUUACAGAAAUCUUCAAUAUCUUUUGGCAAGGGGUGUGGGGAAGAUACAAAGGCAGAGUUGAAGUGUGCACUUGGGAUCGAUUCCGAAGCUCUAAGUGAACGAUAUCUUGGGCUGCCAACACUGGUUGGUCGUUCUAAGGAGGGCACGUUCAAGUAUGUGACGGAAAGUGCCAAGUCAAAAGUG
rnacentral:rRNA from 1 species